AUUGAACGCUGGCGGCAUGCCUUACACAUGCAAGUCGAACGGCAGCACGGGAGCAAUCCUGGUGGCGAGCAGCGAACGGGUGAGUAAAGUAUCGGAACGUGCCCAGUCGUGGGGGAUAACGUAGCGAAAGUUACGCUAAUACCGCAUACGAUCUAUGGAUGAAAGCGGGGGAUCGCAAGACCUCGCGCGAUUGGAGCGGCCGAUAUCAGAUUAGGUAGUUGGUGGGGUAAAGGCUCACCAAGCCGACGAUCUGUAGCUGGUCUGCGAGGACGGCCAGCCACACUGGGACUGAGACACGGCCCAGACUCCUACGGGAGGCAGCAGUGGGGAAUUUUGGACAAUGGGCGAAAGCCUGAUCCAGCCAUGCCGCGUGCAGGAUGAAGGCCUUCGGGUUGUAAACUGCUUUUGUACGGAACGAAAAGGUUUGGCCUAAUAAGCUGAGCUCAUGACGGUACCGUAAGAAUAAGCACCGGCUAACUACGUGCCAGCCGCCGCCGUAA
rnacentral:rRNA from 1 species